UACCAGCACCCCGAGUGGUCGGGACGUUUAUUGGGCCUAAAGCAUCCGUAGCCGGUUCUACAGGUCUUCCGUUAAAUCCAACUGCUUAACAGGUGGGCUGCGGAAGAUACUAUGGAGCUAGGAGGCGGGAGAGGCAAGCGGUACUCGAUGGGUAGGGGUAAAAUCCGUUGAUCCAUUGAAGACCACCAGUGGCGAAGGCGGCUUGCCAGAACGCGCUCGACGGUGAGGGAUGAAAGCUGGGGGAGCAAACCGG
rnacentral:rRNA from 1 species